GCCUGUCUGGCUCAGUUCGUUAAGCGUCUGACUUCAGCUCAGGUAAUGAUCUCGCGGUUUGUGAGUUUGAGCCCCACGUCAGGCU
rnacentral:tRNA from 1 species